rnacentral:ncRNA from 1 species
GUCGAAAUGGUAGAUGGCAUUCCUCCCUGAAUCGCUGCUUGCAUAGGCCGCAGCUGAUGAUGCCUACAGUUCC